rnacentral:lncRNA from 10 species
UGCCCCCAACCCCGAAAAGGACAUUAAAAGUAGACACGGUGGUUCUCUGCUUCCGUCCAAGAUGGAAGACAAUGAAGAGAUUUACCCUCCCACCUAAAACAAUUGUAAAGGCCAGAAGAUGUUGUGCAUUUCAAACAGACAAAUGAAGCUGUAGAAGAUUGUUUCUUGAAGGACUCAACCAAAUAAGAAAUAUCUAAAGUUGCAUGCCUCGUUGUAAAGGAAGUAUAUUAAACAUACACUCUGACAAAAUUAACACAGCAAGAUUGCACUUACACUGUAUAAUCACUACACAAAAAGCCAAUAAUCACUUUGUUCAAAAGAGAUAAUGCCACAUAAUAUAAGUAGUAGUUUAAGCAAUUAUCCAGUAGAACAGUUAAUCAUCACCCUCAGUUCACAGCCUUUUGUUUCUCACCAAUACACAUGUCAGAUUGUAAUUAAAUGCACUCACACUGUUCAGGGCAGAAUGAGAGUCCUGGGUUGAAAUGUGGGAACCAAACUGAAAAGCACAAUAAAGACAUGUUUAGACAGCUUUUUAACUGUAUCUGCCUGGCAUGGGGUCUUGGUUGACAAAUUGGCUAUAUAAGGGUGAAACCACACUGGGGCACCUUAUUUAUAGAAAAAAAUAAUUUAUGCCUAUAGAAAAGUUAUGUUAUUCUGUUUAUAAAUUUUCCAAGCGUUGACUUUCUGAGUGAAUUAUUUGCCAG